CCCAAUUACCAGUUUUGUACACAUUUUAUACAUGUUAUCAGGCUUGAACUAUUUCUUCCAACUUUCAUUUACCAAGAGACUAUGAUAACAUCAGUAAAAUACAACCAGGAUGGGUAAAUUUUCCUUAUCCUACCUAUGUCACGAUCAUGCUGCAAAUCCUCCCAUCAUGAUUUUUUUCAGUUUUACUUAUAUAUUUAUAUUUAUAGAUUUGUAUAUACAUAUUUCAGAUUUUUCCCAUUACAGGUUAUUGCAAGAUAUCGAAUAUAGUUCUCUAUGCUGAAUAGUAAAUCCUUGCUAUCUAUUUCAUAUAAUAGUAUAUCUGGUAAUCCCAUGCUCCUCAUUUAUCCCUCCCUCCCUCUUUUCUUUUAUGUAAACAUAAAUUUGUUUUCUAUGCUUGAGUCUAUUUCUUCUUUCUCCUAUUCGACCCCUAGCCUGGGAACCUCCAUAUGUCACAGGUGCGGCCCUAAAAAGACAAAAAAAAAAAAAAUUCCUCUGGUACCAUCAGGCAUGGCUGGAUAUACAUGAAAUUGAAAAUGUCCAAGAGACAAACCAUCCAUGUAACUAACCCUAGAAUCCGAAAACAUUCACUCAGUACUCAGGCUUCUGGAGACUUGCUUUAGGAGGUCACAUACAUCUCUGUGUGCCUUCAAGCACGGCUUAGCAUGAACGGGGGGAUGAGUGAGAAAGCCUACUGCCUUAAACACAGCCAUAUAGAGCAAGCUGGUCCUCAGGUGGAUGACCUUCUCACCCAGAAUUUAAGGGAUAAAUUAAGGAGUUUGGGAUAAACAGAUAUACACUACUAUAUAUAAUCAAGGAUUUACUGUAUAGCACGGGAAACCGUAUUCAAUAUCUUAUAAUAACCUAUAAUGGAAAAGAAUCUGAGGAAUGUAUUUAUAUGUAUAACUGAAUCACUUUGCUGUACAUCGGAAACUGACACAACACUGUAAAUCAGCUAAUUUUAGUAAAAAGUAUAUAUAUAAUAGAAAAUCCUCUUAAAAUGUUGGAUAUUUCUUUGUGAUUAUUGUCCUUUAUAGAUGAGUAAAUGACACUAUAAAAAUGUGUUCUCUCUGGAGCAUUACUUGGCAAUCGAAGCCAAAUAUGGAAGUGGUUGAAAUUCAGUUUCCAAUUUAGUACCCCUCUUAGGCGAGUGAUGAAAGCUCCCAUAUCUUAGUGUUUCUGAGUAUCUGCCACCUCACUGAGGCAAUAUGUUAUCAUCUACACUAAAAGUUCCAUACUUGUGAAACAAUAGAGACAUGGCUUCUUAUUCCCCUUCCUCUUUUUUUUUUUUUUUUUUUUUUGAGGGGGAUAAAUUACUUUUACAAGGUACAACUAUUGCUUGAGGGUACUUAUUGCUUUUACAGACAAGAAAGAAAAAAAAAGGGAAAAUAAUAGCUAGAAGGAAAGUGUGCCCCAUGCCACAUUCAGGUCACUCUAUCUAAUAAGUACUUAUAGAAUGUUCCAUGUACCUUGCAUGUCACAAGAGAUGUACAUUCAGGAAAAGAAUAAAGCAACAGACUCCUUAGAGAGUAACAUGGCGUGGCUGAGGAAUAAAUAUAAAUUGUCUUCCCUACCCUCUGAGAGAUUGAUGAAUUAUUUAUUAGUUAAUUUUCCCACCCAAGAUUACAAUCAUCUCACCUGCUGCUUGCCAGCCUAGUGGGUUAUUAAUAUCUUUUGCCCUACUUAUUAACAUAUUUUCCUUAGGGUACUCAUCCUGCAUUAAACACAACCCCCUAGUCACGAUUGCUUGUUUUUCCUCUGGAAGGCUCUAUUAUUAUUGAGAU
rnacentral:lncRNA from 1 species